UAGAGUUUGUAGACUUCGGUCUGCUACCUCUUACCCACGUCUUUUGAGUACCUUCGUUUCCUCGGCGGGUCCGCCCGCCGAUUGGACAACAUUCAAACCCUUUGCAGUUGCAAUCAGCGUCUGAAAAAACAUAAUAGUUACAACUUUCAACAACGGAUCUCUUGGUUCUGGCAUCGAUGAAGAACGCAGCGAAAUGCGAUAAGUAGUGUGAAUUGCAGAAUUCAGUGAAUCAUCGAAUCUUUGAACGCACAUUGCGCCCCUUGGUAUUCCAUGGGGCAUGCCUGUUCGAGCGUCAUUUGUACCUUCAAGCUCUGCUUGGUGUUGGGUGUUUGUCUCGCCUCUGCGUGUAGACUCGCCUUAAAACAAUUGGCAGCCGGCGUAUUGAUUUCGGAGCGCAGUACAUCUCGCGCUUUGCACUCAUAACGACGACGUCCAAAAGUACAUUUUUACACUCUUGACCUCGGAUCAGGUAGGGAUACCCGCUGAACUUAAGCAUAUCAAUAAGGCGGAGGA
rnacentral:rRNA from 1 species